rnacentral:miRNA from 1 species
UUUUUCGUGAUAAUAAUGGAAUCA